rnacentral:rRNA from 1 species
AAUAUUGGACAAUGGGGGAACCCCUUUUCAGCCCUUACCUGUUGUUUAAUAAAGACUUUGGCUUUUUAAACAACUUUAGGUGGGGAGGAGGGGUUUUAGCAUAUUCCUUGCAAUUUUUGCUGUUCCAACUGAAAAACGCCCAGCUUAUUUCCGUUCAGGCAGCCGCGGUAAUACGAAGGGUGCAAGCGUUAAUCGGAAUUACUGGGCGUAAAGCGCGCGUAGGUGGUUCGUUAAGUUGGAAGUGAAAGCCCCGGGCUUAACCUGGGAAUUGCUUUCAAAACUGACGAGCUAGAGUACGGUAGAGGGUAGUGGAAUUUCCUGUGUAGCGGUGAAAUGCGUAGAUAUAGGAAGGAACAUCAGUGGCGAAGGCGACUACCUGGACUGAUACUGACACUGAGGUGCGAAAGCGUGGGGAGCAAACAGG